rnacentral:lncRNA from 1 species
CGAAUGACCCUCCCCCCAAACCCUGUCGCACUCAUCUCCCUCACACCCCUCUUCACCCAAAACCUAGUUUCAGCCGCCCUUAUUCUCUCCGAUGAGAUUCACCGACGGCGACGAUGGAAGUUAUCCCAUUCCCACCAAAAUACAACCCUCUUCAACACCCUCAUUCCAAAUACCGAACUGGUUUCCUUCGAAUCAUGGCCAGAUUAUUCGAAUCUCGAAUUUAAACUUUCCCGCGAAGUCCUGAAUUCACCUAAUCGCUCCCAAUAGCCUUAACCCCUCAACCCCAAUCCACCAUCCAUGUCCCUCUAAUCUUUUUCCAAAAUACUCUAAUCUUGAUUUUAAAUUUUUCGGCCAAGUCGCUACUAUGUCCAAACUGGUCAAAUUUUACACCAUUGAAUCACCUUCCCUCCCUCAUCCCAAAGCUCCAAUUGGUUGUCGUAAAACACCACCGGAACUCAUCAAUUCGUUAAUUUAGGGUUUUAAAAAAUGGUGUUGUUCUGGGGAUUCGAAGGCUCGAUUAGUUUUAUGUCGAUGUUACAUGUUUAUUUUAGUCAAGUUAACAUGCAGCAUUAACUGAAAGCCAAAUUCGAGGUCAAUUGGCGAAAGUGAAGAUGGCUUCAGUGAGCUUUGUUCUUGGGUCUAUGUUUUUGUUUAAAUUUCAUUUUAACUUUGUUUUAUUUGUGAUUGGUAUCUGUUUUCGACCGCAUUUUUAUUCCGGAAUAUUGCUUUCAAUCUUUAAUAAUGCUGUGCCUCUCCUUCAUUUCCUUAAUCAUUGAUGUUGAACAAUGUUUUAAUUCAUGUGUUUUAGUUCGUUUAGUUUGAAUUUAGUCGAGUAGUUCAUGGCUUAGCUUUUUGUUUUAAUUUUGGUCUAGACUUUGUUAGUGGUAAUCCUGUUAGUUUAAGCUUUUGCAUAAUUGAAUUUGGUCAUAUGUUUGUUUUUAUAGUUUAAACAUGAUUUUGUUCUUGAUUUUCUUAUUCAGUGAUGUGUGAAUUAAUCUCAUGUUCAGGUGUUUUGAUUAGUUAGUAGUUUGAGCUUGUUUUCUUAAGUCUGUCAUUAGCUUAUUCAAUUUUUGUUUUUCUCAUGUGCUUUGAUCUGCUUUGGUUGCUGCUGAUUGUUUGGUUACGUCUAAUUAGUUUUAAUUCCUGAUUUUUGCUUAUUGGUUAGUCUCUGUAGUUUUAAUCAGGGAGGAGAGGUUUGGGGUCAGAGUUAUACUUUUAGGAUGAAUUAAGGGGUAGCUUGGUCAUUUAUGAUGGAGAAUCGUACAAGUGGAUGAGCAUGAAUCUUCUAGAACAUUUUAUUUGAGUCCCAAAUCAGAUUUUUAAUAAACUUAAGAUAGUAACUUGGGGGACAAGUUAAAGAAUAAAUGUCCAAAAGCUGAAAUUAUAUAGGGACUAAAGAGAAAAGCUGAAAUCUGAAAAAGGGUUCCUUUGAGCCUAUAAAAGGGAGGACCCCUGCCUUAUUCAGGGAGGUUUUUCAGUCAUCGGAAUCACCGCUAAACGAACUUCUAUUUUCCAGCGAAAAGUCCAAAAAAACAGCCUCACAUAGACUCUGAACUUUGAGUCCUCAAUAAAAAAUUUCCAAUCCGUCAUUCUAGAUCUCGGUCUUAUACAGAAAAACCAAAACCAAUAGAAAUCCAAUAGAAAAACAAAAAAAGUUACUAUCCCAUUGAAAAUUUCAUUUUAUUUCUCAAAUCAAGUUUGUUUGGCUGAGUGUUUUCUGGAGCAAAAUUUACUUCUCUUCGUGGUUACUGCUUUGCAUGUUUUUUGUCAACAUCUAUUGAUCACUUUGAGCUUGAAUCUCCUGUCAUUGCUAUGGAAUCUGCUGUUUGCUGUGUUAAAUAGCUCUUCGGUGAAGCUAACCCUCUCCUUCUUCUAUUGUAACUCCCUACCAGGUACACAACUGUAUAUUUGAUGGUUAUGAGCUGAAAAUGAGCAAAAAUGAGUUUAUGAAGAAUGAAGUUAUUUGGAAAAAUUGAAUUCUGAUUUAGUUGGUUUCCAUACUUGUAUAUUCAGUCUAUAGUUCAUGGAUGUUGUCUAAGUUGUUGCUUGUUCUGUACUAGAUGGAAUAUAUAAAUUGUAAUUGCUAUAAGGUGGACACAAAUAUUAGUUAAUUAAUUUCAUAGAAUGGAUUCGUAAAAUGACUUGUGUUAUUUGAAUUGGUUUUUAAAUAGUUAAUUUGCAUCUAGUAAUACUGUUGCCAAAGUUACGCUUUUGUUUUAAAUUUUCAUGUUAGUGAUAUCUAGGAAUUGAAAUCCAACAGGUCGAUACAUAACUGAUGUGGUUAAGUGAAUUUUGACUUCCUUUUACAAAUGUUUAAAUAAUUCAUCGAUUGCCC